ACGACCUUACUGACUCAAUAAGUGACAUAAUUCUAACAGAAAUCAAAAGAAAAGUAAGCUCGGCCCCUUUUGUUGCUGUAAUGGUUGACGAGAUGACUGACAUUCAAAGCCAAUCACAGCUCUCAAUCGUAUUAAGAUAUGCAACUAGUGAUGGUGAAAUACAAGAACGGUUUUUAGGAUUUUCGGAUGGGAGUGCUGAUUGAACUGCAUCGGUGUUAGCUGAACGCAUUAUAGACUGUGUAGUUCAGUAUGAUUUUGGCAGAAAAAUAGUGGCGCAAACGUAUGAUGGGGCGGCGGUCAUUUCAGGUGAACUUAAUGGGCUACAAACUAAAGUGAGAGACAUGUGUCCAAAUGUCAUGUUCAUACAUUGUAUGGCACAUAAGCUUAAUCUUGUACUUUCACAGUCUGUCUCUAGUACUAAAGAGUGCAAUGUGUUUUUCAAAACACCGAACAGCUUUUCUUCCUUUUUCUCUACAUCUUCUAAAAGGACUCACUGUUUUGAUCAAGAAGUGAAAAAGAGGUUUCCAAAAGUCGCACCAACCAGGUGGAACUAUAACAGUUGUCUAGUAGAGACAGUAUACGAGUACAAAUUUGAAUUGAACACCAUGUUCCAAAAUAUAAUUGAAAAUCCAAAUAACUGGGAUAAUGAAAGGUACUUUGCCGCUCGAGGAUUUCUUUCUGUGCUGCAAGAUUUCAACUUUAAUUUUCUACUUGCUGUUUUCAAAGAUUUGUUUUCAGUAACCACCGUUCUUUUCGACAUACUACAAACAAAAUCAAAUGACAUAUCUUUUUGUAGCCGUAAAGUGACUGAAGGAAAAGAAGAUAUAUCCAAGAAAAGAGAAAACUUCGAGAACGUAUUCUCCGAACAUCCUCAAAUGAAGAAAUUGAUGAACCACAGAGCAAACGAUUGCGUCUUGACAACGUAGGAGACGUAAAAAAAUCUUCAGAAAACUUUAUUAUGAAAUUUUUGAUGAUGUGAGUCAAAUUGAAUUAAGGUUUCAGAACUUAGAAAAGCUAAAGUUUCUUGAAUUAAUAAAUCCUAGUUGCAAUAAGGAGUAUGAAAAGACAUUUCCUGAAAUUGCUUUUUUGUCACUGAAAAUGUCGCUUCAAUUUUCCUCGUUUAAGAAGUGAAAUGAGUGUAUUUUAUUCUAAUGAAGAUUUAAACAUAAAGAAUGCAAGUCAGCUUUUGCUACAUCUAAAAACUACAAACAUCGACAGUGCACAACACCAGCUGACAAAGUUAUGUGAACUGAUUGUGACAAUUCCUGCAAGUAGUGCUUCGGUUGAACGUUCGUUUUCUGCACUGAAGAGAAUUACAACUUACGCGAGGAACUCUCAAGGGGAAGACAGAAUGUCCAGGUUGUCUCUGUUGUCCACUGAGAAGAUAUUAUUGGAAAAUAUUCGCAACAGUGAAGGCUUCUACGACCAUGUCAUCAAUAAUUUUGCUGCUAAGGACUGGAGAAUAGAUUUGGUCUUCAAAUAAAUUUUGGUGUCAGGAAUCGAGUCUCAACCGGCCUGCAUGGCAGAGGCCCCACCAAGAUAUGCCUGGCAUCAGGGAGCUUGGUAAUGAAUCACGGGAUGUGACACAACAUGCAGAGAGGACUCCACUACUGGAUGCAGCCACAAAACCUCUAAGGACUUUGUAGCGAGUAGCAUGGUGAUGACGGCGGAGGAUGCUGGCACAGCGCGUCAAGAUGCAGUAUUACUUGUUGAGCAGAAUCGAGGUCUGACAAGUUUCUGGGCAACAUGGCGGCGAUUUGCCAUCACUUGUGCUUGAUGAUUAAAUGCCAGUCAAAUUAUUUUCACAGGGAUUACAAUACUUCCUUGUAUAAUUUUUUGUACUAUCUGGUUUUAUUUUACUGUCAGAUUUUGAACAAUGGAGUAAUGUUUAGAACUAGUUUAGAAUGUAAUUAAAAAGUGUAUCCAUGAUAUCAAAGCCAGUAAAAAAUCACCGACAUUGAGCUGUACACCUGGAGCUCAAAUAAGAGUGGCACCAUGGCUGUGGGGUGCAGAGUCACUGCUUUUGCAUGCAAAAUGUUAAGGAAAAGAGUAAGAGUUUAGGCUAUUUAGGAAAUCACUUGUGAUGCUAGACUGCCAGCAGAAAGUUCUCAUUUCAUUUGCAGCAUUCCCCAUAAACUUAUUGAGCUAAUGAUAAUUCUUGCUAUAAUGAAUUUCUUGUUAAGCUAGACUCAUUCUGCUGCAGUUACCUUGUAAAUUAAUAUGUUGCUAACAGGUGGCAUAA